rnacentral:tRNA from 1 species
GGGCCUGUAGCUCAGCUGGUAGAGCAGUUGACUCUUAAUCAAUUGGUCGAGGGUUCGAAACCUUCCAGGCCCA